ACUGGGCAUGGUGGCAUGUGCCUGUAGUCCCAGCUACUCAGGAGGCUGAGGUAGGAGGAUCGCUUGAGCCCAGGAGUUCUGGGCUGUAGUGCACUAUGCUGAUCGGGUGUUCUCACUAAGUUCAGCAUUAAUAUGGUGACCUACCGGGAGUGGGGGACCACCAGAUUGCCUAAGUAGGGGUGAACUGGCUUAGGUCAGAAACGAGCAGGUCAAAAUUCCCAUGCUGAUCAGUAGGGGGAUCACGCCUGUGAAUAGCCACUGCACUCCAGCCUGGGCAACAUAGAGAGACCCCAUCUCU
rnacentral:SRP_RNA from 1 species